CCGAUGAUAGCUCAGUUGGCAGAGCAUCUGACUGUAACAUUUCAGUAAUCAGGAGGCCCCCGGAUCGACCCCGGGUCGUCGGA